rnacentral:rRNA from 1 species
GACAGAGGUGCCGAGCGUUAGGCGGAAUCACUGGGCUUAAAGCGUGUGUAGGCGGAUUUGUAAGUACCUUGUGAAAUCCCACGGCUCAACCGUGGAACUGCUUGGUAUACUGCUUAUCUUGAGCCACUUAGGGGCAGUCGGAACAGACGGUGGAGCGGUGAAAUGCGUAGAUAUCGUAAGGAAGACCAGUGGCGAAGGCGGGUCUCUGGACAGUUCCUGACGCUGAGGCACGAAGGUCAGGGGAGCAAACGGGG